GAGCCCUCCUUUUGUCAACAGACAUCUCAGGGAUAUGUGAAGAGACAGGCUAUUUUUGCCUGCAACACACCUGCUGGGCUAUGCCUUGCCUGCACCAACCAUUGCCAUGAUGGGCAUCUUUGAGCUCUACACAAAAAAGGGCAAAGACCAACAAAACAUUAAAAACCAAUACAAUCACAACUUCCAUGGCUGUUUCUGUACCUGUGACAGACCUUACCCAGACACUGAUGAUCAGAUGUGGGUUUCAUUCCAGCCGUUAUGCACCAUUCACUUUCUCCAUCACAAUUGAUAAAUGAAUGUUUUAUUUCUGUCUGAAUCAUACGCUUUGUUGAUAUGCUAGAUCUCUAGGAUUCAGUUAGUGUGUUGUUGAAAGAAUGAUGGCUAUGUCAUUCUAAAUCACAAAACACUGUGUCAUGGUCUUUAUAUUUCCCAUAAGGUUAAUGAGGAUAUGAUUCAGUGUAUCAUCACUGAGGACUGGUAUCAUCCCAGGGUAUGUAUCGGGCUAACAUCAUGAUUGUUGUCAGUUCUCUUUCAAGAUCUAAACUAUGUUAGCCGAGAUAAUGGUUUUGGUACAAAGACAGGAAUGAUUACUCCUCCUUGACCAUGUGGGCCUCUCUGUAACAGCACUUAGGUUGUAUGGUGGAAAAGACUGAGGAGAUGGAGUGUGAGACCUGUAUGAGCAAAGCCCCCUUCCUUUGGACCUACUUCGCCCACUUAGCAGGUGUGUUAUUAUUCCUCCCACUGACAGAGAGUGCUAGGGAUCCAGAGCUCUGGGCUUGGGUUACAAAAAACACCAACCAUAAAUGAGUACUGCUUUUUAAAUCUCUUGCCCCUAGCUAACUAAAGAUUGGAGAUAACGGUACUGUUCAUUCAUUCAUUCAGUUGAGAGAAUGCCAAAAGUGUGCAAAGCUAUCAUCAAGGCUACUUUGUUUAACACUUUUUUUGGUUGCUACAUGAUU